rnacentral:rRNA from 1 species
UACGGAGGAUGCAAGCGUUAUCCGGAAUGAUUGGGCGUAAAGCGUCCGCAGGUGGCUGUGUAAGUCUGCUGUCAAAGAGCAAAGCUCAACUUUGUAAAGGCAGUGGAAACUACACGGCUAGAGUGCGUUCGGGGCAGAGGGAAUUCCUGGUGUAGCGGUGAAAUGCAUUGAGAUCGGAAAGAACACCAACGGCGAAAGCACUCUGUUGGGCCGACACUGACACUAAGAGACGAAAGCUAGGGGAGCAAAUGGG